rnacentral:tRNA from 1 species
GUCCCUGUUGAGCAAUGAAUAGCCCAUUGGACUUUUAAUCCAAAUGUCGUGGGUUCGAAUCCCUCCUGGAAUG